AGAGACGAGCAUAGGUUCCUCCCAAGAUGCCACCCGCUUCAUUCAAGUGUCUGGCAGCACUGUGUUCCUGUUAGAGCCACCAGCACAAGCACCAGACGAUGCUGAUCCAGGUGAAGGCCCCAGUGCAGCAGCAACAGCACAUGAUGGAGACGAUGAUGAGGAGGAGACCAUCUCUCUGGAUUCCAGAAGGCAUGAGGACCCAGAUGCUAUACAGUGGGAAAACCAGCCUGGCAACAUAAGCUCACAAGCUAUCAGAAAGUUGUAUGGCAACCACCUCCGGCGCCAAAUAGAACUGGCAGACAUAGACAUUCAGUACAAGAAGAAAAAGAUGGAAAAUCUUGCACUGGAGUCCGAAAUAAAAAAGAGGACAAUUAGGAAACUGGACCUUGAAAUAAAAAAAACUUGAGAGGGAGCUCCAAGAAGAUGACACAGCUCAAAAUAAAAAUUAGCAAUCAGUACAACCAAGUCAUCGUUAUAAGGCAUCGCCCUCUUUUGCCCACCCCCCCAGCACCAGGUGUGGCCACUAGCCUAUAUGAAGGCCCAAAAUUGUGUGUUCCUUUCUGCUCUGACAAUGGCAUGCCCAUUCGUGCGAGAUGUGGUGGAUGAAGAAGCACUUGUGCUGAGGAGAGCCUUCAGGCGAGAAAGGGUCUUCAGGGACCGGUUGGACCCACUGGCCUUCCCUGAUGACCAUCUAUAUGAAAGAUACAGGUUUUCUGCAGAUGGCAUCAGGUAUCUAUGCAGACUACUGGGUCCCAGGAUUAAGCACCGCACUGCACGGAGCCAUGCACUGAGUGUGGAGCAAAUGGUUUGUGUGGCCUUGCGCUUUUUGCUAGUGGAGCCUUCCUGUACUCAGUGGGGGAUGCAGAACAGCUGAACAAGGCCACAAUUUGCCGCACAAUAAGGAGUGUGUGUCUGGCUAUCAAAGCAUUAGCAGAUGUCUUCAUCUCCUUCCCUGGCCACAGAAGAGUCUGUGACAUCAAAGAGGAGUUCUAUAGGAUUGCAGGUUUCCCCAAUGUCAUUGGUGCAGUGGACUGCACACACAUAAGGAUAAAAGCCCCCUCAGGUGCCCAUGAGGCCGAUUUUGUGAAUAGGAAAUCCUUUCACAGCAUUAAUGUUCAGAUGGUCUGCAAUGCUGACUGUGUGAUCAGCAAUGUUGUGGCAAAAUGGCCUGGCUCAGUCCAUGACUCCAGAAUCUUUCGGGCCUCUGAAAUCUAUCACAAGGUGAAUUCUCUGGUGUGUUGCUGGGAGACAGGGGGUAUGGCUGCCAGCCUUUUCUCCUGACACCUUUCACAGACCCCCAGGAAGCACAGCAGGCCUACAACCAUGCCCAUGCCAGGACCAGGACCAGGGCCAGAGUUGAAAUGACUUUUGGCCUCCUGAAGGCACGCUUUCACUGCCUUCACAAAUUAAGGGUCAGCCCUGUUAGGGCAUGUGAUAUUACUGUGGCUUGUGCUGUCCUCCACAAUGUGGCCUGCCUGAGGAAGGAGAGGGCCCCCAGAGUGCCACCAGCCAUGGACUGGGACAAUCCGGCAAUCUUCCCUGAUGACGACAGUGGUCGGCUGCUGAGGGACCAAUAUGUGUUGAAUUAUUUUAGUUAGUAUGUGUGCUUUCAAUUUUGGUUAAAUAUGUCCUGCGGUGGCAGAGGAAUUUGGGUUUUUUUGGGUUCGUUUUUUGACGAAUUUGGCCUCUUAUGAUGUUUGUGCGGUAUACUGUGUGUAAUACAAGGCUGCAGGGAGGCUACUGCAUCCAUUCAUUUGUCUGUUCAGUUGAUGUGUAUGGAUUUGUCCUGCAUUUAUUUUAGUGUGCAGACAUGCAGGGUGUGUAUGUAUCAUUUUGUAUAAUAUGCUUGGAUUCUGUGCUUUCCAUCUUGUAGAGUCACUGUGACUUCAGUUUCGAAAGGAGCUGAUGGUUUACCUGCUUUGUUUUGUCCUUAUUCAAUAAAGGAACAUAAUGUUACACAUUGUGUUUUUAUAUUCAUA